rnacentral:rRNA from 1 species
GAUGAACGCUGGCGGCGUGCCUAAUACAUGCAAGUCGAACGCGCCGAGAAGGGAACUUGUUCCUUUCAACGCGAGUGGCGAACGGGUGAGUAACACGUGGGAAACCUACCCUUCAGCGGGGGAUAACCAUCGGAAACGAUGACUAAUACCGCAUAGUUGUUCCAGUCGCAUGACUGGAAUGGGAAAGACGGCUUCGGCUGGCACUGAAGGAUGGUCCCGCGGUGCAUUAGCUAGACGGUGGGGUAACGGCCUACCGUGGCUUGAUGCAUAGCCGACCUGAGAGGGUGAUCGGCCACAUUGGGACUGAGACACGGCCCAAACUCCUACGGGAGGCAGCAGUAGGGAAUCUUCCGCAAUGGACGCAAGUCUGACGGAGCAACGCCGCGUGUGUGAAGAAGGUCUUCGGAUCGUAAAGCACUGUUAUCAGAGAAGAAUAGCCUAUAGAGUAACUGUUAUAGGUUUGACGGUAACUGAUCAGAAAGCCACGGCUAACUACGUG